AUGUCACCUUGUGCACUCCUCCGACACCAAAGACCGUCAGAGAUGCCGCACGCAUCACCAUCGAUGCCCUCGCCACCGUUCGCCGCCGCGAGAAAUUUUCCAAAGAAGAAGCCUCCCAUGAUGGAAGACGACGGCAUGGAUUUCAGCCCUCAGAAAAACAGUAAUGAUUUCGACCGCGACAGCUUCGAAGACGAUGAAUUCAUCGAAAUUCAAUCUGCAACCUCGAAAGCACCUGCUCACUCGCAAGGCCCUCCUGAUAGGAAACCAAAGCCCAAGAACAAGCCAGCUCAGAUCGAGAAACCUAGCCCGGCCAAUCUGCACCACGUCUCUACAAUGAGCCCGGGGCUGCCCCACUCCCAAACAUCCGAAACAAGCGCAACGAGCACGAACAAUUCCGAAACCGUCGUCGGCAAUGGCAGCUUGGAGAGCAGCCGUAUCACCCGGAGCAACAGCCUAGAGAGCAGCAUCAGCUCGGCCUCGGCGUCGGCGUCGUCGGCGAACGUGAAGCGGCACACUGGCGGGGACAGCCGGUGGGAGGCGAUCCAGCAGGCGACGGCCCAGGAGACGGCUCUCAACCUGGGCCACUUCCGGCUGCUGAAGCGGCUGGGCUACGGCGACAUCGGCAGCGUGUACCUGGUGGAGCUCCGCGGCACGUCAGCCUUCUUCGCGAUGAAGGUGAUGGACAAGGCGUCGCUCAUCAGCCGGAACAAGAUGGCCCGCGCGCAGACGGAGCGCGAGAUCCUCGUCCUCCUCGACCACCCCUUCCUCCCCACGCUCUACACCCACUUCGAGACCGACAAGUUCCACUGUCUCGUCAUGGAGUACUGCAGCGGCGGCAACCUCCACUCCCUCCGCCAGAAGCAGCCGGCCAAACAUUUCACCGAGCAGGCCGCCAGGUCCUAUCUCUUUCGUCGACGCGUCUCAUUUUCGUACGUGUCGACGGCCUGCUCUGACGAUCGAUCAAUGGUGCAUUUCCGUGGCAGGUUUUACACCGCCGAGAUACUGCUUGCCAUGGAGUACUUGCACAUGCUGGGGAUCGUUUACAGAGACUUGAAGCCGGAGAACGUGCUGGUCAGGGAGGACGGCCACAUCAUGCUGUCGGACUUCGACUUGUCGCUGCGGUGCUCCGUCAGCCCCACGCUCGUCAAGUCGUCUUCGGUACACAACACCAGCGGGAACGUCGGCGCCGGCGUAGGCGGCAUUGGCUCGGCCGGCGAGGGCGGCGAAGGAUUGGGUCCCAACCAGGGUUGCAUCCAGCCGUCGUCCUUCUUCCCGCGCAUCCUGCCGCGCCGCAGCCGGAAGGCGUCCAAGAGCGAGGUGAACCUCAACGCGGCGGCCGCGGUGGAGUUCAACGCGGAGCCGUCGGACGCGCGCUCCAUGUCGUUCGUGGGCACGCACGAGUACCUUGCCCCGGAGAUCAUCCGCGGCGAGGGCCACGGCAGCGCCGUGGACUGGUGGACGCUGGGAAUCUUCCUCUACGAGCUGCUGCACGGCACCACGCCCUUCAAGGGCGCCGGCAACCGCGCCACGCUCUGCAACGUCAUCGAGCAGCCGCUGCGGUUCCCCUCCGACUUCGGGGGGCCCGCCGGCGGCGCCAGUGCCGUCGCACGGGACCUCAUCCGCGGGCUGCUCGUCAAGGAGCCACAGAAGCGAAUUGCGUUCACGAGGGGCGCCACGGAGAUCAAGCAGCACCCGUUCUUCGAGGGCGUCAACUGGGCGUUGGUGAGGAGUAUGGCGCCUCCGUCGGUGCCGGAGCCAGUGGACUACCGGCAGUACGCAGCUGCCACCGGCAAGGAGAAGAAUGCAGCAGAGAGCGCAACCGCCAAGUCGAGCACCGGGGAAGCUCAAAGCGAUUUCGAGUAUUUCUAG
rnacentral:rRNA from 1 species